AUGUCUGCUCUCUAACACACAAUCUGUGCACUGCUCAACAUUGAUACCAUGCAUCCCAACCGCACAACAUAUUUUGGGGCAAUUAAAGACAGGUGUUCCACAAUUAAUUUAAUAUGUCAACAAUUGAAAUGAAUUGAAAAAGCUUCAUACAGCUGUAAUCAUUCGACUGACCCCAGUGGUUUUUGGGUAAAGCAGGUAAGUUAAAUUUCUUUUAACACAACAUAGAUCAC